UCAGAUUUUCUCAUAUUCUUUUAGACCAAGAAGAAAAAGGCUUCUUCCCCAUUUUCUUCAACACCCAAAAACAAACGCUGCUCCAUUCCUCAUCUCACAGACCCAGAACAACGCUAUUCCCCCUCUCCUUCUUCAUUCCUUUCUCACUUUCACAAAUAGAAACAUCUGGAUUUAAAAGUACCGAAUUUCAUAUCUAAAAAAAAGAACUCCGAAAAAUCAAAAAAAGAAAGAAAAAAAAUGAUGAAAAGGAAGAUUUAAACCUGGUUUCGGGUUUUCAUUCAAUAAAUGCACAUUUUCUGGGAUUUCUCUCAAUGGUUUGAGCGAUUGAAGUUGUUGAAUCUGCUGGGGCUGUUUGUUUUUGGAGCUGCUGCGCUCCAGCUUUAAAGUUCAUACCUCUAUUUGGUCCUCUAAUUGAUGUUUUCUGCCUUUAGUCAUUACAGUAUAUUAGCAUUUGAUUCUUUGAAACAGUAGUGAUGGUGAAGUAUGUUAAUUCUUGGAUGGAAUAAUUUCCUAGUGGAUUGACAUGUGAAGAUCGCCCCUUUUAUUUUUCAAAGUUGGUUCAUUUUAAUCUCCAAUAAUGACUCAAUGAGGAGUCUCUUCUAGUAUCUGAUUGUUUGAUAACCCUGUAAAGCUAGCUAUUGUAUAUACUGGAGAUUAUCUAUGAAUUUUUAUUUGGUCUCCAAUAAUGGUGUAGUUCCAUGUUUUUUUUAAUCUACAAUUCACAACA